rnacentral:rRNA from 1 species
AACGAACGCUGGCGGCAGGCCUAACAAAUGCAAGUCGAGCGAGGACUUAGGUCCUAGCGGCGGACGGGUGAGUAACGUGUGGGAACGUGCCUUUUGCUUCGGAAUAGCCCUGGGAAACUGGGAGUAAUACCGGAUGAGCCCUUUGGGGGAAAGAUUUAUCGGCGAAGGAUCGGCCCGCGUUGGAUUAGGUAGUUGGUGGGGUAAUGGCCUACCAAGCCGACGAUCCAUAGCUGGUUUGAGAGGAUGAUCAGCCACACUGGGACUGAGACACGGCCCAGACUCCUACGGGAGGCAGCAGUGGGGAAUCUUAGACAAUGGGGGAAACCCUGAUCGAGCCAUGCCGCGUGAGCGAUGAAGGCCUUAGGGUUGUAAAGCUCUUUCAGCUGGGAAGAUAAUGACGGUACCAGCAGGAGAAGCCCCGGCUAACUCCGUG